AAUUAACCGCGCGGUCCACAAGCGGCUCCUGGGACGGCCAUCGGGAAGGGAGUCCGCGAGGAUUCUGGGAACUGUAGUUCUGGUGUAGUUGAGCGGCCGAGGGCGGGGUGAGCGGUCGGGUCCUCUCUGGAGAGCGAGGCCUGCCGGGCACGUGGCCCCGCGGUGUCCCUCCCCUGCUGCAGGAGGGUGGGGAUAGGCCGGGCAGGGCCUAAGAUUGGGAGCUGGGGAGGAGUGAGGCUGCUGGGGGAGUGCGGCGGCCCAGGCCGGCGGGUUCGGGCGGUUUCGUGCUUGGAGGAGGGGGCGCGGCUCGAGGUGCGCGUUUGUGGCGGGGAAAUGGGGUGACUCCUCUAGCUGCGAAUCCCUGAAUUGCGGGGCGUUACCCGGACCUUCACUCCUCGGCUGGGGCGAGAGACCUGGAACUCAAAUUUCUUUCUUGGAAACGGGGUGGGUAUAUUCUGGGCCAAACAAUUUACGAGUAGGGGGCAGCUCCAGUGCGCAUCCCCGGCGUUUAUUUGGGGUGUAGGGGUGUGUUCAGCCAGGGCCAAAUAGACAUCCCUUGUGAUGGGGGCUGGGGGCGCGGCUUGGGCCAUGUGUCCCUGGGUGUUGUUUGGCCUGGGAGCACUUACGUGCGUCCCGCAUCUCUGAACGGUUGUGGGAACCCAGGACUGAUCGUGAAUGUCAAGUUUUGUUUUUGAUGGGGCUGAAUAUGACCCAAUGGUGAUUGGGCGGAGGUGGGGUGGAGGAGAGAGCAUCUCAGGCCCUGCUCUGCGUUGGCUUGUUGGGGGUGGGUGGAGGUGAGUUCGACGUGGGCAAAAUAUCCGUAAGGGGUGGUGGAGUGUCUUGGCUCUGGAGUUCCUUGGGUUUUUAGAAAAUGGGGAGGUUUGGGGCCUGAGGCAGACAUCCUACAGUGAUGGUGCACUGCACCGCUGGGGCCUGCAUCUAGGCAGUUUUUUGAGUGCAGGCAGGUCUGCUUCUCUGGGAUCUCUUGUCCCACGGUUUGUCCUCAUCCCGGGGCCCACUCUGCUUUAUGACAAAGAUCCCAGAUUUGGUUGUAAUGUUCACCUUCUCACAUCCCUGCCUGCCCAGAGAGGACUGUAUAGAGAAUGAGAGGACUUCUUGCAGGUCCUGGCUGCAUGGCAACAAGUUGGGCUUUUAUAAGUAAGUUUUGGAGGAAUCACACCAGGCAGCAGAAAUUGAUCUUGAGAUGAAAUCAUUUCUACCAGGCCUCCUGGCAGAAUUUCAAGGCGAACACGGGGCUGACUCUGGGGCCAUGAUGUUGCCUGAUCCUUCUGCCUGGAGAGAGCAGGACUGGGAGGAGAUGUUGCCUUUGGAGAACAGGGAAGUUGCGGAAACAGUGAAGACACCGACUCAGAAUCACAAGGCAAAAGGUUUGCCUUCUCACAAGACUGACUGGCUUCAAGAAAAGGAGGGAAAAGUCCAAAAUACUGCAGAACCAAAGCCAGAGAUCUACCCCUGUUCUUCCUGCCUUCUGGCCUUUUUCUGUCAGCGGUUCCUCAGCUAACACACGCUGCAGAUCUUCCCGGGUGUGUGUGUAGAAAAUCACUUCCACCUGGGGGAUUCUGGCCUGGGGCAUCGGGGGCAGCAGUAUUCUGCUCACAACUGCUGGAGUGAAAACACAGAAGGCCAAGAGAGAGAAGGUGACUCCAGACUCUGGUGCUCGAGGACAGAGGAGAGACGGCCCUUACGUGCAUUGCCCAGCCCACCCUGAGAACAGUCAGCAAUUCCUGGAGAAGGCAGCGCAGUGGUAGAAAUAGAGCCCAGCGUAGCCCAAAGGGUAAACCCUUUGCAAGCAGACAAAGAAAUGAAGGAAUUAGAAACCUCAAGCUCUGGAGCAGUCAACUGUCAAGAACGUGAACUAGACUGUAGCCCCAAAUCAAACUGCAUUACAAACCAGGUCAUCCUCUUAGGGGAGAAGCUCUAUGUCUUCAGGGAGUGUGGGCGAGGCUUUAGAGAUAAGUUGAACCUCAUCAGACACCAUUGGACACACUCAAUGGAGAAGCCUUAUGUGUAUAGUGAGUGUGGCCGAGGUUUCAGCCAGGUGUCAACCCUUAUUAAUCACCGGAGGACACACUCAAUGAAGAAGCCUUACAUGUGCAAGGAGUGUGGGCGGGGCUUUAGCCAGAAAUCACUCCUCCUUGUGCACCAGAGGACACACUCAGGGGAGAAGUAUUAUGUUUGCAGGGAGUGUGGGCGAGGCUUUAGCAACAAGUCAAGUCUCAUAAGACACCAGAGGACACACUGAGAGGAGAAGUCUUGUGUAUGCAGGGGUCCUGGGCAGGACUUUAGCAAUUAGUCGAACCUCUUCUUACGCCAAAGAGACAUGCGGGGAGUAGUCUGUAUGUGUGUGUGGGGUGUGAGUGAAGCUUCAGAGAUGUGUUGACCCUCAUCAGGCAGUGAGGCACAUUCAGGGCAGGAGCCUUAUGCGUGCAGAGUGUGGGUAGCUGUCAACCCUCAGUGCACAAAGAGGACGCACUUAGGUGGGAAGUAUUGUGUGUGCAGGGACUGUGGGGAAGCUUUAGCAAUAAGUCAGCAUUUAUGGAACAUCCAGUGGCCGACUCAGGAGAAGCGUCAUGUGUUCAGGGAGUGCUGACAGGCAUUGGGAAAAGAACCGACAGGAGGGCUCCAGAUGGCUCACUCAGGGAGGAGCUGUGUGUUUGCAGGGAGUGUGGGCAAGGCUCUUGUGAUCAGUCAGCUUUCUUCACACACUGUAGGGAGAAUCCUUAUGUGGGGAUACUGUGGGGCUGCUCCAGCCAACUGCUGCUGAUAGCUGCAGAGAUGAAUUCCUCACUAGACUUGCUCUCAGCCACAGGGAGCUGCACUUCCCAGGGAUGCCUCCUGGCCAACGACUGAUUGAUACGGGGAGACAAAACCCUAGCCGGACUCUGCUGGGACAACUCCACAGGGUCAUCCCAGAUCCCAAGGUCCCCAUGAAACUGAAUGAUCUCAAACACAUUGCAGGUCAGCUUCUUCCUCUGCCCAGUCCUGUCCUCAUUCACCGAUAAGCCACUCAAUUCUCUGCCUCAUUGUCUCUCCAGGGAAUCCACCCUAAGAUAUCAUAAGCACACAAGGAGUGUGGAUGAGGCUUUGGCUAAAAGUCGCUCCUCAACAAACCCCAGAGUAUACAGAAUAGAAGCUCUGUGUGUGCGGGGAGAAUGGGUAAGGACACCUCAGGAUGCAUCAGAGAGCAGCUUUUGAGGGAGAAGCUUUACAAGGCAGGGAGGGAGACUGGGAAGAUUUAGCAAUAAGUUACACCUUCUGGUGCAGCCGAGGACACUCAGGGAGUCCUAUGUGGGUGGGGUUGUGGGCGGAGCCUUAUUCUGACACCCCUCCUCACAGAUCACUACCUCACUCACCUCCUGGGGGGGUUUCAGAAGUCUUGACCCCCACCCGUCCCCAUACUCUUUGAGGGUGAAAAUGGCAGUAACAACUUAAUAAACAUGUUUUUCCACUUUUUGUAAUCAGAUGGAAUAAAAAAGUAGAAGGCUUUAUUUAAGUAAGAAUAAUCAAUUUGUUUUAUUUUCAAACACCAAUUUUUUCCCAUGUUUUCAUGUCUUUCUGUUCUCAUAAAUUGUUCAAUAAGCUCAGGCUAUGUACCUUAGUCACUCAUCUGUCUGGAAAGGAAUUAAAUUUCACAACCUGGAUUUCUGCAUGAAUUCAACCCUUGAGAAAAAAUAAGUCCCAAUCAACCUAGUAGAUUUAUUGGAGGAUCUGAUUCGUUGCAUGGGGAGGAUGAUGUAGGUUCUGGAGACAUGCCCACCGAAGCAAGGGAAUUUCCCGGGUCUCUGGGGGCUGGGUUGCCUCUUCUGACUGAUCACUCCCUUUGGCUUCUGUGAAAGCUCCCUUCCCUGACUUCUGUCUCUUCCUUCUAGUCUCUAUUCAGGUCUCUGCUGUAUCCUUCUCUACCACUGAAGCAUUGUUUUUCCUUCCAGAUUCCAGAGUCAGGUCCUUUAACCACGCCCAAACUGCUCUCCAGUCAUGAAUCAUUGCUUUGGGUCUCUUAGCUACUUUGGUGUCAGAUCAUAAGUCUAAAGACCCCUGGGGAAUUCCCUGGUGGUCCAGUGGUUAGGAC